rnacentral:rRNA from 1 species
GACAGAGGCCUCGAGCGUUAGGCGGAAUCACUGGGCUUAAAGCGUGUGUAGGCGGGCCCGUAAGUGUCUUGUGAAAUCCCACGGCUCAACCGUGGAACUGCUGGGCAUACUGCGGGUCUUGGGCCAACUAGGGGCAGCCGGAACAAGCGGUGGAGCGGUGAAAUGCGUAGAUAUCGCGUGGAACGCCGAAGGUGAAAACAGGCUGCUGGGGUUGCGCCGACGCUGAGACACGAAAGCCAGGGGAGCAAACGGG